rnacentral:rRNA from 1 species
CCUACGGGUGGCUGCAGUGGGGAAUAUUGCACAAUGGGCGCAAGCCUGAUGCAGCCAUGCCGCGUGUGUGAAGAAGGCCUUCGGGUUGUAAAGCACUUUCAGCGGGGAGGAAGGCGUUAAGGUUAAUAACCUUGGCGAUUGACGUUACCUGCAGAAGAGGCACCGGCUAACUCCGUGCCAGCAGCCGCGGUAAUACGGAGGGUGCAAGCGUUAAUCGGAAUUACUGGGCGUAAAGCGCACGCAGGCGGCCUGUCAAGUCGGAUGUGAAAUCCCCGGGCUCAACCUGGGAACUGCAUUCGAAACUGGCAGGCUAGAGUCUUGUAGAGGGGGGUAGAAUUCCAGGUGUAGCGGUGAAAUGCGUAGAGAUCUGGAGGAAUACCGGUGGCGAAGGCGGCCCCCUGGACAAAGACUGACGCUCAGGUGCGAAAGCGUGGGGAGCAAACAGGAUUAGAUACCCGAGUAGUC